CUCAUCGUAAUUUGAUGAAUUCAUUAUGAUUAUUAUUAAUCAAAUAUAUUUUCACUUUCAGCAUGACAGUAUUCUAUUACUAAAUGGAUUGCUCAUUAAUAGGCACUAUAGAUGAUUCCACAUCGUCUUAACAACUCAAUAAAUAUUUGUUGGACGUCAAAAGAUAGUUUUCACAUUUGCAAUAGUAUCUGUCUUAACUUCAAAACUUCAAAGGAAAAAAGAUAAAACAUUCAAAAGGAAAUUGAUUGAAUUGAGCUUAAAAAUACAUGAAUACUCCAAAAUAGCUCCUCACAAUUUACAUUAUCUGCUUAUAAAAAACGUGGGACUGCGUCAGUAUUAUGGGUGUUUUUCUUGAUCCCUGUAAUCAAUGUAAAAGUACAAUCUGAUUUGAAUAAAAAUGCUAUUUUGUUGUAUUAUAA